rnacentral:rRNA from 1 species
UACAGAGGGUGCAAGCGUUAAUCGGAAUUACUGGGCGUAAAGCGUGCGUAGUCGGCUUUUCAAGUCGGGUGUGAAAGCCCCGGGCUCAACCUGGGAAUUGCAUUCGAUACUGGAUAGCUAGAGUUCGGCAGAGGGAAGUGGAAUUUCAGGUGUAGCGGUGAAAUGCGUAGAUAUCUGAAGGAACAUCAGUGGCGAAAGCGGCUUCCUGGACCAGUACCGACGUUCAGGCACGAAAGCGUGGGGAGCAAACAGG